AUCUACAUAUAUAUGUUGAGAGAUGCUGCUUUUUGGCCAAAAUGAAUCUUGAAUUGGGGGUGUGCAGAAAAAGUUAUAUCUGGCCUGAGGCUGGUAUCUUUUAGAGUGGCCUACUUGCAUGGUUGGCCCUUAUCUGAACACGUGGAUUUAGGGGUAUUCUCACUGUUCACUAAUAAAGGUGGUUCACUGUACCUAGACUGUUCAAACAAGAUGAUUUAUGCUAAACACCUGCUUUCCUUCUGGGAGUAUGGAAUUUUGGUACAUGCCAGGUAAAGGAUGUCUAUAUGACCAAACUCCCAAUGAAAACCUUGCAUACUGAGUCCCUAGGCAGAAACAUCCCUCGUAUAAAAAUGUGCUCUGUGUGAAUCUUCAUGGGAGGGAGAGAUCCUAAAGAAGCCUGCACAUGGAUUCCUCCAGAUUCUGCUUAUGUCUUUUUCCUGUAUGAUCCAACUGUGUACACUUACUGUGUCACUGUAAUAAACUUUAGCCAUGAGUACGAUA
rnacentral:lncRNA from 10 species